rnacentral:rRNA from 1 species
UACGAAAGGGGCUAGCGUUGUUCGGAAUUACUGGGCGUAAAGCGCGCGUAGGCGGACUGUCAAGUUGGGGGUGAAAUCCCGGGGCUCAACCUCGGAACUGCCUCCAAAACUGUCAGUCUAGAGGAUGUGAGAGGAUAGUGGAAUUCCGAGUGUAGAGGUGAAAUUCGUAGAUAUUCGGAAGAACACCGGUGGCGAAGGCGACUGUCUGGCCCAUUUCUGACGCUGAGGUGCGAAAGCGUGGGGAGCAAACAGG